GGAAGAGGGUAGCACGCAGGUUUUUUCAUGCAAUAUUUUCUAUCUCCUUUGAAUUAAACUUUUGAUUAAGAGAUUCAAGAUAGUUUGAUUAACUUCAGAGCAACAUAACAUCAACCCAGCUCCAGAAGUGAGAGGGUUCUUUCUGAGGAAGCUUCUGCAAAGGAACCUACAUUUGUCAUGAAGGAGCUUUUACUGAGAAGAUUCAGGGGAGAGAGAAAUGGAACUAAUCUUCACUGAGAACCUACAAUAUGACAGGCCCCGGUGUGUGACCCCGGUGUGUGAUGUUCCCCUUCCUGUGUCCAAGUGUUCUACAAAGAAUGCUUUUCAACUGCAGAAGAAUUUCAUGACUACCAAGAACACAGCAAUAAGAAAAUCGUUGUUGUUAAGAUGAAGAAAUGGGACUGUGACACAAAGUCGGAAACUUAACCCAGACGGUAUGAAGUGACCAGCAUCUUACUGUAUCUGACUGUACACUGAAGGUCUCUGUGUUUGCUCCUUCAACUUAAGCAUGUUUACAAAUGGUUUAGAAGAGAUGAAAAAGCAAUGUUUGGGGUAUAAAUGUCAUGCUUACUUACAGAAUCAGGAUUUUCAAGGGUUUCUUAAUUCUGAUAUCUUUCAAAUUUUUGCUUAAUUUCUCUCCUUCCCUUUACUACCAGGUAUCUCAAAAGAAGAGACCACAAUACAUACUUCCUCAGCACACACUUCUUUUCUCCUCACUUUAACUGAUGUUCCUCAUUACUGUACUAAAAUCUUUCUCACAAUGGUUAUGGGUAUCUCUUUUUAAAUUUUUUUAUUUUUAUGUAUGUAUGUAUGUUUGAGAUGAAGUCUUGCUCUGUCACCCAGGCUGGAAUGCAGUGGCGCAAUCCCGGCUCACUGCAGCCUCCACCUCCUGGGUUCAAGCUAUUCUCAUGCCUCAGUCUCCUGAGUAGCUGGGGUUACAGGCACCCGCCACCACAUCCAGCUAAUUUUUCUAUUUUUAGUAGAGACGGGGUUUCAUGAUGUUGGUCAGGCUGGUCUUGAACUCCUGACCUCAAGCAAUCCACCCGCCUCGGCCUCCCAAAGUGCUGGGAUUACAGGAGUGAGUCGCCAUCCCCAGCUGGUAUCUCUUAAAUUGCCACAUCCAGUAGCCUCGUGCCAAUAUUCAUCCUGUUUACAUCUCAAGAGUACUGGGCAUUAUUAGCCACACAUCAUCAAUACUUUAUUUUCCUUUCAUAAUUCUCCUGGUUCUCUUCCCAGUUCUCUGCUGGUUCCCAGUUGUUCUCCUUAAAUCAUUUUGUGGAAGUCUUACAGGCUAUUCACAAAUAACUAAGUUCUCCUGGACAUAUAUUGGAGUUACUCUUCCCUGCUCUUCUGAAGCCUUAUAACUUUGCUUCAGAUAAAGAAAUGUGGGCAAAAGUAGUAUGUCUUACCUCUGUGAGGAAGAUUUAAGAACCAAUAUGUAAUGUGUUGCAUUCCCAUGCAGUAAUCAUGCAAAUGUGCUGAGUACUGUUUCUGUUAAGUCUAGGGCCUUGAGUGAGCAGAAACCCCUUGACAAGAACCACCCUGCACAUGUAGCUUAAGCAAAAAUAAACCAUCAUGUUAAGCCACUGUAGUAGGUAGCCUCUGAGAUGGCCCCAGAUAAGCCCUGUCUUCUGGUAUUCACGCCCUUGUAUCAUCUACUCCCCUUGAGUUUAGGCUUGAUUUAGUGACUUGCUUACAAUGGAAAGCAUAUGGCAGAAAUAAUGCAAUGUCUCUUUUGAGCUUAGGUUACGAAAGACUUCAGCUUCUUUUUUGGUUGUUCUCUCUCUCUUUUGGACUGCUUUCCAUAGGGAAAACCAGCUGUCAUAUUAUGAGGCAGCCUCAUAAAGAGGCCCAUGUGGUAAGAGACUGAAGUCUGCCAAAAACCUUGUGUGUGAGCUUGGAAGCACAUCCUGCAGCACCAGCUGAGCCUUCAGAUGAAACAGCAGCCCCAGUCUGUAGUUUGACUGUAAACUUAACCUUACAGACUGUGAGGCAGAGGCACCCAGCUAAGUUGGGCCCAGUUGCAAUUACAAACUGAUACAGCCAUUUAGGUUUUUAGGGUUGUUUUUACCACUUCAUAACCUGCCUACUCCUGACUUAUACAAUGCCUCCCUCCAUGUAUUCCCCAAAAUAUAGACAUUUGCCAAAGUCCUUCCUUGACCUUCCUUUCAUGUUAACCACUUUUAUAAUAUCAACUUCCAAUUCCAUGUGGAUGGAUGACUUUGAAAUAUGUAUCUCUUAACACUGAAUUCUUUCCUGACUGGGCUAUACUUCAAACUUUACAUUUUUCUACUAGACCUACCUAGAAAUCCUGUGGUACUUCAAACUUUACUAAAGACAAAAUAAAUGGUCUUUACCUUCAUAAUUGUUUUGCUUUCUGGGUUUCUCUUUUCUGUUCAUGAUAUCACUUUAGCCUGGGCAGUGAAGUCACUGAUAUCAUGAACAGAAAAAAGAAACCCAGAAAACAAAACAAUUAUGAAGAUAAAAACCAUUUGCUUUGUCUUUAGUAAAGUUUGAAGUAGCACAGGGAUCCCUUUAAAAUAAGUUGUAACAUCUGACAUUUGUCAUCUAUAAAAUUAAUGAGUAUACUUUUUAUACUAUCACCCAAGUCAAUGAGAAAAAAAAAUUAUAGUAAUAUCAACUCAGGAGUGACUAACAUGGAUAUGAAGUCAUUGAUCGUGGUCAAAACCUCUGUUACUAACAGCCAAAUAGGCUACUCUAGACUGCAUCUUUUUAGGUUGUCUUGUGGUAUUCAUGAACUGUAACCAUUUUCAGAUGUUAAAAAUUAAAUCUUUCUUAUGUAAUUAAAAAAUUAUUCUGCAA
rnacentral:lncRNA from 10 species